GUUUGUGAGCUUUCUUUUGCGUCAAGUAAGCCAUAAAUUGCUGUAUUUUGCAUCAUUUAUACCUGAAACUUUCCUAAUCACAUUUGUUAGCUCAUUUACAGGAAAAAGGACUAAAAGUGUACGAAAUAGAUAAUUAGUUCUCGAAACUAGGCUAAAAUAUGGGCAAAAUAUAUUGAUAUAGGCGCGUAAUUUCGCCUAUCAUCACCCGAAUACUAAGAAGGCUGCUGAUGAGGGUUCCUACCAUGAAAUCCUCAGCCUGAGAACUGUGAACCGCUGUAGCUACCCUGGUAGCGUGGUCUCUUAUCGCUGCCCCUUUGGGCCUCACGAUCCAUCUCCUCUAUGGAAUAAACAUGAUUGGAUACCUCCAAAAAAGACUUCCCUGAAGUUACCAAACUCUGUGUAUCCCUACGGAGAGACAAUCUCAAUCCCCUGACAAAGCAUCAAAUUCGCUCGUACUCCGUAUUUAGAAUCAUAGUAGUGUGUGUGGAUAACUUGUGGAAACUCGCCUCAUAUUCAGCCACAGUCAUAGAACCUGCCUCAACGCUGUAAACUCAUCCCGGAGAUGCUCACGCAUGCUACGAGGCAUAUACUUCCCCAAGAAAUCCUUGGAGAACUGUGUCCAAAUCACUGGUGGAGAUCCAACUAGCCUAGAAUCAAGAUAACCACUCCACGACCUUCUCAUUGCCGUGUCGAAUUAAUAAGAAAUAAAGUCCACUCACCGACACCUAGCUCUCGAACCUCGUGUCCUAGCCAUUGGAGUAAAGAGUGAACUAAUGAAAGAUGAUUACAACCAACCCAGACUCAACGCACAAAAAAUGGAUCAAGAAAAUAAGAUUUUUUCCUAAAAAUGCUCUGUAGCCUCCUAAGGAUAGGAUACUGAUGUCUCCGUACCGAUCCGUGGGACACUAAUAAACAUCGGCUCCAGUACUAACAAUUCCAGUAAGACCUAAGCUCUGAUACGAAUCUGUCACGACCUAAUUUCUCAAGUCAUGAUGGUGCCUACUUUAACCCUCCAGUAGGCAAGCCAAGUCAUAGUCCGGAAUGAUAAGUAACGGGCUAACAGGCAAAGACCAAAUAAAGUAAUAUGUAUAAUAAUUAUAAUAAGUAAAAACUAAGAAAGAAACAUAUAUAUAAAUUAUAUCAAAACGAGAUGAGGAAAAAGGGCCAACUUAUAAUAAAUCCCUCUCAAGACCUGAUAAGGUCAGUACUAUAGAUACUACUAAAAGAUACCUAGAGUACUAGAUAAUAAUAUAAAAUAUACAAAAUAUACACAAGUAGUCUUGAGUGCAAAAGACUAACUGGAAUAGAUAGAUGAAGAUCAGCCUCGGACAACAGCAAGCUCUCCCUGCUCUGAAUCAGUGAUGAAAGGUAGGAACCACAUCAACAUUGAUUGCUAAUGCACGGAUCUGCAUCAGAAAAAGAUGCAGAAGUGUAGUAUGAGUACCAAAAACCACAGGUACUCAGUAGGCAUUAUCGACCAACCAAGCUUAAUACAGAAAAGGUAUAACUACAAUGCGAGGGCGUAAUCUGAGUCAUUAGUAGAUAGGGAUGGAAAGGUAAAGAACUAUCAAGCUACGCAACGGUUGUAAAGGAAUAAACUUAUGCGAUACCAAAAGAAUAAAUAAUGCAGUAAUAAUAGAUAAAUCAAACAUAACCUAACUGGGUCCCCAUACGCCUGCUAGGCACACUACAUAACCUAACUGGGCCCCCAUAAGCCUGCUAGGCACAGUGAAAAAGAUAAUUAACCCAUCCGUACCCCCAUAAACUGGUGGGACACACAUGUAGUGAAAAUAAAUAUAAAUAGUCUAUAAUUGCGCUGAUCACCAUAAAUCAUAAAAGUUUUCCAGAUGUGUACCAGACUUAAACCGGCACCAAUGGGUGAUAACGAGAGGCAAGAUAUAUAACUCAUAAUCAGAUGCUGGGCUCGAACCGAAACUCAUGGUAACCAUAAUAGUCAAUUGCCGGACUUGAAUCGGAACUCAUAGUAACCAUAAUAAUCAUUUGCCGGACUCGAACCGGAACUCAUAGUAACCAUAAUAAUCAUUUUCCGGACUCAAACCUGAACUCAUAGUAACGAUAAUAAUCAUUUGCCGGACUAGAACUGGAACUCAUAGCAACCAUAGUAAUCAUUUGCCAGACUCGAACCAAAACUCAUAGUAACCACAAUAAUCAUUUUCCGGAAUCGAGCCAUAUCCACCAGAAAUAUUAGAAUUCAUACCAAAUCAUAACAAUGUCAAUGUCGAAAUAAUCAUCCGUUAAUCUUAAUUAAAAGGGAAUAAAUUUAAGAUUUUGAAAUUUAAUUUCACGUUCUAAAAUAAUAGGUGUUAUAUUAUAUUAAAAGAUAAUGUUUAUCCAAAGCUAACAUAAUGGUUAACAUUUUCAGUAAAUAAGCUCAAUCUAAAGAUAGGGUAAACCUAGCCUACCUGGACGCCAAAACUAUAAUAUCUUUCCACGAAGCUUGCAAAUAAUAUCUCGCUAGAACCCGAAAUUGAAUAACACUAAGAUAAUAUUUUCCACAACGUCCUUUAACAAACUGAGAAGAUCCAAAUAUUGGAGAAGACAAACAUAACGUGAAUAUACAUAAACUUGCAGUGAGUGCAAGUUCACUUUUCUUUUCUUCACUUUAAAAGGUCAAAGGAACUAUAUAUAUAAGUAAUGUUAGGCUAUGGUUGAAGACAAGCGGCAGAAUAGACUAGAUGCCUGUAAUGUGUUCUUUGCCAAUGAAGCAUAUGCAGAAACAAUGUGAACAGUUGCAUAUUAUAGAGCGAUAAUUAUAUUGAGAAUCAGCAUAGUUUAUAGCCAAACAAUUUCCAAUGCUAUUUUUUUGAUAAUUUACAGUGCAAUCUAUUUUUGCUAUUCCAAGAAUAGACUAGAUGCCUGUAAUGUGUUCUCUUUCAUAUUGCGCAUCGUUGUUCUAACUCACCACUUUAAUAUCAAAUAUUGAACUAAGGGUCUAUCAGAAACAACCUUUUGACUUUCUAAUUUAAGGAUAAGGUUUAUCCUUUCCAAACUGCAGUAGUGCUAUCACACUCGACAUGUUGUUAUUGUUCUUAUUACGUUAGAUCAAACAUAAGAUGUUAUUCAUCAAAAUGUCACGAGGAUAGUAACUUUAUCAACAUGCGUUGCAGUUUGGAAGUGUCGUGGCAUUUCAUCUCUUGCCAAAGCUCGGAAUCCAGAAUGCUCCCUCUCAAGUAACUGAUUGGAAUAUAAAAUCAAUACUCAUUUUCUGCAGCACAAAUUUCUGCAUAGAAAAUGAGUCCAACUAAAGCGAAGAAGUGAACAAUAAGUGCAGCGUCAUUUCAAUGCCGACCUCCAAAAGUUUUCAAUAAAGAAUUCUUCAGGUAGUAAAGCAUGGCUAUCAUAUAAUAUUUCAUUUCUAAUUCCAAAUAAAGCUCUAUCAAUCAGCUACAUUCUGAAGUUCUUUUGCAAUCUGAUACAAGCUAAAGCAAACUCCUAAUCAGACACUCAUAACAAGUAAAUAGUAUAACAAUACUCGGUGUUAGUAAAAUAGGGGGAAAUCGGAAAACAAAAAUAAGAGAUAUGACACUUGCCAAUGCUAUAACUGCAUUUAUAGCUUUACUGCGUAACACAAUAACUGCAUGCUUGAGAGGAAAAUAAUGAUAUCACAACGACUAUAUAGAUAGAGAAAAUAAUGCAACAGGUAGUAAUUAAAAUUAAAAAUAGGAUACAAGAUGACUAUUAACUAAAUCAGAAUCUAAAUAUUCGUCCAUGCCAUAAUUGCACAGACGUGUAAACAUAACUAAUCUUCGAAAAUAUAAAACAUCCUUAGCAGCUAUUUGUAAUGGUUCAAUCUUAACAGCUUCAUGUGAUUCUUCAAACUUCAUACUUGGAUUGCUCCAAAUUCCUCAGAAACAUUUUCCAUCUCGGAAGAACAAGUCUCAAUAAACUUCUUCUUGAUAGCACACAAAACAUAGUCUCUACGAUCUUCAUCAAACUGAUGGAGAAUAACAUUAGAGAGCUUGUACUCCUUCAUCAGCCAGUAGUGUCCAUCGUCUUCUCUAUGCUCCUCGUUAUUAUUAACCAUGUAAUGCAUCAUCUAAAUUUGGUAAUAUUUGAUCUCGGAUCUACCAAUUCAGUAAUGUUUACCUAUUUUCUAAUUGAAUGCUCUUACCGUUAUGCAUCCAUGGUUGAAGUGCCCAACCAUAAUUGGCAAAAUCAUCCUAACUAUUGAAAUCUUAAUAAAAAUUACAGGACAGUCAAUUAUAAAUGUCAUGAACGCCCGUGCUUUAAGGGAUUCCCUUAAGGUUGAGGAACAUGUAAUAGGGUGUAUGUACAAUAUCGUAUUGAUCAUGGGUUGGCUCAAAAGCAAUUUUCGUGAAUCUAAGCGAUUGCUAGUUCUUUUUCUUUUCAUAGUUUAGUUUUGCAGGAAAAAAAAAGCUGAAACAAUCAUCUUACUUUUUCAAAUUUCUCUACUCCACAGCUUGAAACAUCACAUUUUUUUCCUUUUUACCUUGGUGCAAAUAGAAAAAUGAAUAGAUCAUUCUAAAUUAUGCUUUACCUAUUAGAGAGAAUAUUCUGGAAACGGCCUCUGUACCUCCACGUGGUAGGGGUAUGGCCUGCAUACGCUCUAACCUCCCCAUACUCUACUUUGUGAGAUUUCACUGGGUAAAUUGUCUACCUAUUUGAUCUUGGAUCUACCUAUUCAAAAAUAUUACAGGUUGAAUUUAUUGUGUUAAACUCAUGAUGAACCUAUGUAUGUAGAUACUACUGUAGGUAUUUCUUUAGUAGUAGAUUAAGUGUAUUGAUAUACUAGUCUGAAUAUAUUAGGGUAUGAUACUGGGGUAGAUCUUAUCAUCGUAGAUAUGACAGAUUUUAGUGUGAUUUAGGGUAUAGAUUGUAAGAUUUUCACUUGUUGAUUAUCUCGUGUGUAAUGGUAUUCUAUUUUCAAUAUGUAUUUACAUUUUUUUAUGAUGUAGGGAGGAGUUUGAGAAUAUUGAAGAUUUUGCUUCUAGACUACCAAUUGAGAGUCGGAACUAUUACAAAUUACAUACGGUAAAUUUCCCACUACCUCCUAUGAUGAUAUUUUUAUUCGGAAGAUAGGACUGUUGGUAUUUUAUACAUUAAAAAGUUUGAUAUAAUAUCGAAUCCUGAAAAGCGUAGGAUACUAUCAUUUGUAGUUAUAUACUAUAAGGGGAUGAUUUCUUCUCACCUGUUUUCUUGCUGCAAAAUUUUUUAUACUCAAGCAUACUAGUUGACUAUGAAAUUUAUUAAAAAUCAAGGCUCUGGCAAAAUUCAUAUUAUUCUCUGAUUAUGACCAAUAUGAAAUACUUUUCAGAGAUAAUCAAUGUUGCUUUUAUUUGUUGCAGUAUUUGAUGUUGAAUAUUUCGUAAAUAGCGGAAAUGAUAUAGCUACUGAAUCUUGUAUCCAAGUGCUUCGAAUUAGAAGAAAAUGCCUUGUCAUUGGUUAUAGAUUUUUGCAUCCUCAUCGGUGUUUAAGGGAGCUAACUGUGAUCAAAGAUCCCUUUCUUCCAGUUAUUAUUUAAUUAAUCCUACUCUGGUUCUCGUUAAAAUUCAUGUUUGAUUUUCAUAUCAUUGCACUACUUUCAAAUAGUAUUAGUUUUGAUUGAAUGUCGAAUUGCAUUGCUUGCUACUAUGCUCAUCGGUUCGUUAUGAGAAUUGUUACAGAAUAUAUCAUAAUCUAUAUCUGCAGUUCUUAUAUCAUUGUUCCCUGCUGAAUUUUAGUUGUUUUUAUAUUUAUAUGAUAUGUCUGUUCAUUAACUUGUUGAAUGAGGUUGCAGUUUUCUGAUUUUAUGUGCAGGGCUUAGUCUCAUUGUCAUUCUGCUCUACCCAUCCUAGUUUUUGCUUCCCUAAUCUAUAGAUAUUUGAAUAUGAACCCAGUUAUUAUUAGUUUACUAAAUUGGAAGUAUGUUUUCAGACUGAAGGCAUGAAUUAUGGUCUUAGAGAUGUUAGCUGAGAUCAUAUUGGGUAUUCUUACAAUCAUUUCAAGAAUAUCAAAAAAAAAUUCCAGUCAUCCUUUUCUAUACCGUGUCUUGUUAAUGAUAGUCAAUGAUAUUUUGGGCUUUCAUUUACGAAUUUCUUCUUUAUGAAAUCUUAUAGGUGAUAUUUUUCAUAUUCAUUAAAUUCUUCAAUUGGAAUGUCAAGAAACACACCAGAGUAUUUUCUUGGUUUGAAUUAGUUUCUAGAUUUUGCAUUUACCAAUGGAGCUAUAGGAGAUAAAAUAAAGUGCCCAUGUCUUAUGUAUUGUUUUACAAAGUGGAAACCAAAAAAUGUGGUGUUUCACCAUAUGAUGGACAAGGAUUUUUCUCAACAUUACGUCACUUGGGUUAUGCAUGGAGAAAUGAAUGUUUUGCCUAAUUCCAGAAAAAUAGAGGUCGCUCAAGAUGCACCACCUUCUGAAAAUCUAUUGAAUUAUUGAUUAAUGAAUCAUUCAGGGGUUUAAAGAAUGAGGCUGUUGAUGCGGGCCCGUCACAAGUAGUGGGAGAAGAAGAAAAUUUGCAUGAUUUGUCUGGUUCAAAUAAUAAAGAUUAUUUUGAAUUGCUUAAAGACGGAAGUGAAGAUUUGUAUGAACGAUCCAAGUACUCAAAGUUGGAAUUUUUGUUAAAGCUUGAUCACAUAAAGUGUUCAUCUGGGUUAAGUAAUAAGGGAAUGACUAUGCUGCUAAAUCUACUUUGGGAUGCAUUUAAAUUUGCAAGGAUCCCUAUAUCUUUUUAUGAGGCUAAGAAAAUCAUCAACAAGUUGUUUCGUAAUUAUGUUAAGAUAGAUGCUUGCCCAAAUAAUUGUAUAUUGUACUAGGAAGAUGAUGUUAAUGCAAAAUCAUGCAAGUACUGUCACACUUCUAGAUGGAAGCCCGAGAACGAUAUCAAUCUUGAUCAUGCUCCUAGUACAAGUAAUAAACAAAAGUAGAAGCAAAAGAAGAAGCAGAAGAAGCCUGCAAAAUUUUUGUGAUACUUUCCAUUAAAAUCAAGAUUACAAAGAUUGUUUAUGUGCUCUAAUAUUGCAGAGCAUAUGAAAUGGCUAGUGGAGGAUGAUGAUAAAAAAGAUGGAAUAUUAAGGCACCCUCGAGAUAGUGAAGCAUGGAAAAGGCUUGACAUAAAUUAUCCUGAAUUUGCUUCUGAUCCUCGAAAUGUUUAAUUAAGAAUAGCUCGUGAUGUUUUCAAUCCUUUUGGAUCGAUAAGUACUAACUAUAACAUUUGGCCAGUGGUUUUGUUUCAAUACAAUCUUCCUCCUUGGUUAUGUAUUAAGUAGUCAAAUUUUAUCCUCUCGAUGAUCAUUUCAGGUCCACGUACAGUAGAAAAUAACAUAGAUGUAUAUCUACAACCACUUAUUAAGGAGUUGAAUGAGUUCUGGAGUGAAGGUGUGGAUACUUUUGAUUCAUCAAAGAAUGAAAUGUUCAAAAUACGAGCAACACUUAUGUGGACAAUUAGUAAUUUUCUUGGACUUGAUAUCUUAUCUGGGUGGAACACACAUACUGGUCUUGCAUGUGCUUCUUGUAAUUUUGAUGCAGAGCCUUGUUGACUUCGCUAUAGUAGAAAGUGGGUUUUAUUGACCACCAUCGAUUCUUGGCAAGAAAUCAAAAAUUUAGACUGAUGAGACAUCGUUUUAAUGAAAAUAUGGAAGAGAGAGUCCCUCCAAAGAAGUUAUCUGGGUCAUAAAUUUUGCAAUAGGUGAAAGAUAUCAAUGUCACAUUUGGAAGACAAUCAGAGUUGUAGAAAAGAAAAAGGAAAAAGAAUGUUUUGGAAGAUGCAACUCAACAAUGGAAGAAGAAAAGCAUUUUCUUUGAUCGUCCAUUUUGGGAGUUUAAUCUGUUGCUCCAUAAUUUAGGUCCGCUGCAUAUUAAAAAGAAUGUGUUUGACAAUGUUAUUUACACUUUGUUAAAUGAUAAAGAAAAGUCAAAGGAUCAUGCUAAGGAUUGAAUAGAUCUACAAGAUAUGGGCAUAAGGUGUGAUCUUUGGGUCGACGAGAUUGGUGCGUGUAAACUUGCUGCAUUUUUAAUUCCAAAGAAUAACAAAGUGGCCUUCCUCAAGACUUUAAAAAAUAUCUCAGUGUCAGAUGGUUAUUUAACUAAUAUAUCUUGUCGUAUUGAUUUGUAUUAAAAAAUUAGAUUAAAAUGCCAUGAUUAUCACAUUAUUAUGAAACAGUUGUUACCCAUAGCAAUUCGUAAUGUGCUUCCAAGACAGGUUGUUGCGACUUUGGUUGAGUUUUGUUCCUUUUUCAGGCAAUUUUGUUUGAAAAGUUUAAGUCUUGUAGACUUAAACAAGCUACAAAAUCAAAUUGUGGAAACUCUUUGCCAUUUAGAGAUUUUGUUUCCUCCAUUAUUUUUUACUGUAAUGAUUCCUCUAACUGUUCAGCUAGUUGAUGAGGUAAAAAAAAGUGGGCCGGUUCAUUAUCGCUGGAUAUAUUCUAUUGAAAGGUAAGAUAUUUGUUAUUCAUAAUCAUUUUAGUUGAUUUUGCAGUAGUAUUUCAACUUAAAUGCUUUGUCUUACACAUUAAUAUUUAUCGGUAUAGAUUGUUGGUCCAUUUAAAGUCCCUUGUCGGGAACAAAUCACAAGAAGAAGGUUCCAUAGCUGAAGGUUACAUAGUGGAAGAAGCUCUUACUCUUUAUUCUCAUUAUUUUGAGGAAAUUGAGUUAAGGUUAAAUCGACGUAAAUGUGUAAAUGAUGAACCAAGUCAAACUGAGGCUUUUGAAAAGUCAAGUAUGUUCCCUUAACAAGAUAAGCAUGUUGGAGGCUUCAUAAUAGAAUCAUUGACUCAUUUGGAGAAAAAACAAGCUCAUCUAUAUGAGUUACUCUAUUAUGCUCCCGUGAAGCCAUUUAUUGAGAAAUAAAUCUACAUUGAUUUGAUUUGUACGAUAUGUUUUUAGAAAUUUAAUUAAAAUUGCUAAUUAUACUUCUUUUAUAGUGAAUUUAGAGAUUACAUCGAAAGAAGUAAAAGAGGCUGAAGAGUUUCAGCAACAGAAAAAGAGAGAAGAGUUAGUAAAGAGUUUCCUGAUUGGUUUCCUAAGAGAGUGAGUGAAUGAUAUUAGAAUUUUUUUAAUAUAACAUUCUUAUAUCAAUUUGUAAUUUCUGAUAUAAGUGUUUAUAUAUUUAUAUUAUGAAUCCGGAUAUAGUAGAUACUUUCUAUGAUGAGAUAAAGUUCUAAGCACAAGGUCCAGCCCGAGAUGCAAGAAGAUUCAGCACUUAUAAUAUUAAUGGAUUCGAAUUCCUAACUUUUUCUAGAGAUCAAGGAUUAAAAACUCAAAAUAGUGGACUUUUUAUUGUCUCUAACACUUCUUGUGUCGCAUCUAGGGCAGAUAGACAUGCAACACCAGCAGACCUGCCAUAUUAUGGAAAGUUGGAAGAUAUUAUUGAGCUUAAUUAUUAUGGCUAAUAUAAGGUUGUUCUUUUUAAAUUCCAGUGGGCUCACACUACUCGAAAUAGAGGGUUCAAAAUAGAUGCUUAGAAGUUUAAUCGUAUCAACUUUUCCAAAUUAAUUCAUACCGGUGAUCGUGUGGAUGAUGACCCAUAUAUAGAAUCAUCACAAGAAAAUAUGGUCUACUGUGUUGAUGAUGAAAGUGAUAAAGAAUGGAGUGUGGUUGUACAUCUAAAAUCAAGAGAUUUGUCUGACAUGGGAGAGGUUGAUGAAGAGGAAAAAUAUGAGAAUGAGCCAUACCAACAACAAGAAUUUGAACAAUUUUUUGACGUUGAUUAUGAGAAUGUCCAAAUUACAAUAGAGGAGCAUAUGACUGAAUGGAUAUAUCAUUAUUUUUUAGUUUCCUUUAGCACUUUGUUUUUCUUGCUUGAUUGGUGAUUUAUUUCCAAGACUUCAUAUUUUCUGGCUAAGAAAAUUAUCUUUAUUCUUUAUAUAAUUCUUGAUACAUUUGUUUUGUUUUUCCAUUAUUAGUUUUUAAUUACGAUCGGAUCUUCUGGUAUGUUAUGUGGUUUCUUAUCUCAGGGCAAAAAACUGGAUGACAGGAACUGAUUGGGGGUCUUGAUUGUACUGUUCACAGAAACUUCUUUGGGAUCCAAGUAACGGAGUGAUUUUCUCAAUUUGAUUAGGCAGAUACAUUUGUUUUGUUUCUUCAUUCUUAGUGCUUAAUCAUGAAAGGAUCUUCUGGUAUGUUAUGUGGUUUCUUAUCUCAGUGCAAAAAACCGGAGGAUAGGAACUGAUUGGGGUCUUGAUUGUACUGUUCAUAGAAACCUCUUUGGGAUACUCGUAAUGGAGUGGUUUUCUCGUUUUGAUUAGGCAAUUACAUUUAUUUUGUUUCUCCAUUCUUAGUGUUUAAACAUGAAAGGAUCUUCUGGUAUGUGAAAGAUUGGAAAGAUUGUCAUGGAAUAUCUAACAACUGAAGAAUUCAGAGAAAAAAAUGAGAAAAUUAUAUUACAAUUCUAUACCUUAAAUCAGUCUCCUUAACAGUAAACUUGUAUGCUGCUUAUACCUUUACUAUAUUGCUUACUGCAUUAAUAUUUAGUACUUUUAAGUUUGGUUUUAAGCUCUAAAAGCUUUGGUAUUUUGCACUGUAUUCAACAUAUUGGUUUGUAGUAUUUACUUUAGACUUCUAGUGCUGUUGUUGUAAAUUUUAUUUUAUUUUUAGGAUCUCUACUCUUGUUGGUUAAAAUGUUAUUCAUGGACAUUAGGAGAAUUCUAUUACAUUCAUCUAAGCCAAACAUUGGUUGUUGGUUAAUACUUGAUUAUGCAGCUUUAAUAUGAAGUGAUUUAUUGCAGAAAAAUUUAGUGCUUAAUUUUUGUUCUUCGCAAUAGGUAUUGCUGCUUUCUCGUAGUUGACACUUUUACCAAGAAAGAAACUUACUGCAGAAAGAAUUUAGAUAAUUGAGGCCCCAUAUUUUAUUACCUAUGAAGCAUCAAACAAGCAAACAUACAAAAGCCCAUGAAAAUACUCUGCUAAUCUGAUAUAUACAUGUGUAAUAGCCAAGCAAGUUUCACAAUUUCCUACUCCCAACUAUGCGUCAAGCUUGGGUAUCUCAACAUCUCUUUUAACAGAAAAUUAUCAUUUCCAUUACGCCAAUGGAGCGACAGGAUUAGGAACAACAUCUAUUUUCCAAUUCCAGUAACCAAGAGGAUUAAUCACCUACCAAGGCUCGCGGUGUAUUCUCUAUGGAAAAUAGGGACAUUCUUGUCUGUGAAACAACUCUGACAAAUGCCAUAUUUGUAGUUAUAGUAGGAGCAUGCCAAUAAUCUCCAGUCCCAAAAGUCACCUAGGUUUUUUAAGCAAGUUUUCUGUUUGUUGGGAGGCUCGUAAGUCGUUCUGUGGGGCAAUCAGGCACCUCGGUUUCAGGUUAUGUGAGUUCUAAAAACUUUCCUUUAACUUCUUUUGCAAGAGGGGCCUGGAAAGGCAUGAAUGUCAUCCCACCCAUCUAUGGCCUUAGAACUUCAGGAAUCUCAACUCCAUCCUCCCUUUAGUAGUUCUCAAGUAUACAACGCAUUGUCCUUUCUAUUGCAGUUGUUAGUUCCUUUCUAGUAUUCUUGCAGUUAAAGUUAACUAGUAGCAGUAACGUGAAGACAUUCAUUUUUGUAAAAUGGUUUUGGUAUGACAAGGUAGAUAGGAAAUUUGGAAUCAGUGAGUACAUUAACGGUUACAGAUUCCCCUCAGAAUUAAAACUUUUCUUGGUUUCUUGUGAUCAAUUUGCUUUAAAGGGAAAUAAACACAAGUUUAUCAAAUAGUACCAGAUAUAACUGUAAUCAAAAGCCAAAUAUUGUAACGGUUUCUUAUAAUUAUUUGAUUAAUGUGCUUUAGUGAAGUCUACUAUAGUUGUGUUAUAGUGUUACUACUGUGAGGUGUAACUUCCCAGAUGUCAUCUUACUAAACACUACAUUAUUUACUGCAAAUAUGACAAGGUUCAAGCGGUUGGAGAAAAAGCAAAAACUAGGUCCGUUGGUAUCUACAUCACAAAGUACUGAAUCAGCACCUUCUUUUCUGGACAAAACAAAUCUGUCUCUGCCAAUUAAACAUGUACCACAACCAUCUCAACCAGUUUAUUCAGCAUCCCAUCUAGCUUUUAUAGAUAAGGACACUCCACAUCCGGGUCCAAUAGUUUUCCCUAAAUCACAACCAUCUCCAACAGAUCACUUGACAUCAUAUCCAUCUCUGAUUGUCCUGGACUCAUCACAGCUAUCUCCUGUUGGUCGGGACCCAUUACAGCCAUCUCCUGUUGGUCGGGACUCAUCACAUCCAUCACUUGUUGGUUGGAACUCAUCACAGCCUUCUUCUAUUGGUCGGGACUCAUUACAACCAUCUUCUGUUGAUCGGGACUCAUCACAUUCAUAUCUGGUUGGUCCAAACUCAUCACAGCCAUCUCGAUCAAUUCACUCUACAUGACAUCUGGGUAUGACAAAUCAGGACUCAUCACAGUCCAACAAAUCUGGACUCAUCAAAACCAGCUCCAAUUGAUGAGGUUGCAACCCAAAAAGGUUCUAGACGUGAACUGAAUAUGUAUUGGGUUGUAGAUGCAAUAGAUAAAUACUUCAGACUAUCAAUACAUAUUCAAUAUAUCUUUCUAAGCCAAUGUAAUUUCUCUCAUAGCUUCACCCAAUCUAUUUUCUUAUAAUAGAUUCAAAAAAUAAUGUCAAGAAAAUCAAAGUGAAAGCUAAGGAAGUACUGAAUUUAACAGGUAAAGAACGUAUCAUGGUUAAGUUUGAUGUUUAUGAUGAACCAUUUGGGGAAGCACACAGUCUACUUUCACGCUUUUGUAGAAUAUUAGCGUGUGAUUGCUUUUUAUUUCCAAUCAACUUUGACAAAUAGUCGAGUUUACCUAUGACAUACUUCAACCACAUCUUAGAACAUAUUACAAAGGUAUACGCUCUAAAUUCUGAUGACUAUACCACUGAUUAAUUUUUUCUUUGAAUUUUAUAUUUACCUGUAGUAGAAAAGCUAACCAAUAUUUUUAUUUUGAAGCCCAAAUUCUUCUUUGACAUAGCCGAAUCAAUUGCUCGACAACAUGUUUCUUUAUCUAUUAAAAAAAGUGGGCUAUAAAUAAUAUUAACAUGUCGAAUGAAGUUGAUGAUCCACUUAAAAUUAAAGCUCAGAUUAUGGAUGAGCUGUCAGAUGGGAUCCCACCGUAUCAGUGGAUUUCUUUUAUUGAAUAGAAUUUUAAAGAAUCAACAAAGGUAUUUAUGUAUAUGAAUUUCUUUAUAGUUGUAAAAUUAUUUUUUCUAAUUGAGGUUUAAAUAUAUUUUUGUAAGAAAAUGUGUCAAAGGAACCGUGAAAAUCGAAAGAAACAUACAAUUCCACACACCGGUGGCUCCAAAGCCAACGCUACAAAAAGGGCUGAAAUGGUGAGUGAAUUAACCUUGAAUGUAAUUAUUCCUAACUAGUAAAUUAUUUUGAUUAAGUUUUUUUAAUUUAUAGAUGGCCGAUACUGGACAACGGCCAGGACGAGCACAACCACGAUAUGUGUGAGUUAUACUUAUGUGCCAUAGACUCUUGUCGAGUAAUAAACUAUGGUAUGCCAAAUAAAUUUUUAUUUUUAAUUUAUUUUGACAAAAAAAUUUCUAUAUGUAGGAAAAAAUUGGUCAUAUUUGAGCCAAAGCGCCAUAGAAGAGUCUUAAAUUUCGCCAAAUGAUGUCGUUGGUAAGGUGCUAGGGCCAAAGCACUCUAGAUGGCAGAGAUGCUUGAGAUUAGGAGCUGCACCUAGUAGAGUUCUUGAACAAGAUAGAACUCAUUUUGGUGGUACAAGUGCUUCAUGUAGUGGAGGAUUUUGUUUGCUCCAAUGUUGAGAAAACUUUGCUCAAAUGAUGAAUUCUCACAAUCAGCUAAUGAGUGUGUAACACCCAGCAUUUCGGACGAGAACUAAAAUCAUCAUUUCCUUCACGUAAAGGUUCCAAAAGCCAUAAAUCCAAUGCAAGUUUAGUGUUUUAAUAAAUUAUGUAGAGUGGAAACCUCUUUGACCAGGAAUUGAGAUCAUAGAGGUCCCCAGGCUCAAGGACAAGUUGAAAGUUUUCCUAUCGUUCGAAUUUUAGUGAGCGAUGAAACUUAGGUCAACUUCAAUUGAUCAUUUCUAUUUAUAUAUAUUGAAUUAGAGUGCCUACUAUAUAUCAAAUGAAAGGUAUUCGAAUUAUCUUUCCAACGAUACCAAUUUCUCAAAAAUUACACUUUCGAGAAACAAGUUAUGGCUUUGUAAAGUGGAGCGUGUCGUGCAGCAUAAGGUGUGCGACACACACCCUAACUUAUGCCAUAAGGUGUGCGACGCACAACCUAAUGUGUGCGAUAAAGAGUGCACUGCACAACCUAUAUUAUGCGAUAAGGUGUGCGCCAGAUAUAUUAUUACUCAAGUGACUUAAACACUCCGUUUUUGGGGCAAAAUGGUCCUUUUCCCACCCUUAUUUAGCCAUAAACACGAAAUUCAGUUCCCAAAUACCCCAAAAUACACCUUCAUUCAUCAAAAUUUCUCAAGAACUUUCCUUAGGGUUUCAAAAUAAAAACACAAGCUACUCAAGAUUCAACCGUGGGUUUUUGAAACUAAUUGUAUAUUUGCAAUCCCCAGAACGUAGGCUUCAAGAAGCACCUAUCAUCUUCGCAUAUAGAGGUAAGUGAGGUUAUCUCAAAAAUCUCAUGGGCUUAAAAAUUCAUUUUUUUAAAAUGGGGAUUUUGAAAUUAAAAAUAUGAUUAUGUUUUAAACGUUUAUGAUAUUGAUUUGGUAUUAAGGCCCAUUCCUGAAGUGAUUUGAUAUAUGAUAUACGAAUAUGCAUGUAUUCCAAAAAGAUGUUAACUUGAUAGCAUGAAUCAUAUGAAAAUCCCUCUGUUAAUAUGAUUUUGUAUUAAAUCCUCAUAAGAUGUGAAUUGUUUGAAAUCAUCUUGAUAAGCAUAACAUGAAAUAUUUUGAAAAUGGUUAUGAUUUUUGACUUGAAAUGAGAGGGUUGUUAUGUUGAAAAAUGAUGAAUAUAAUGGAUUCAUAAAAGAAUGAUGUGAUAUUGAUGGCUUGCAAAUCGGGUAUGACGAUACCCUACAGAAUAAGAUAUGUAAUUGAGUUAAAUAGAGUUUGAUGCAUUGAUUUUACAUGAGAUAGUUGGAUGCCCGAAGAAGGCAUUUGAGUGUAAGGGCUCAUCGCUGGAAACCAUGUUUGUCGACAUGGGGAUUUGGUACCAGGCUAAGUGAUCUUGUGUACUUGACUUUAUGUCAUUCCAAAUUGGGACUAUGGUUAGGAUCCCAGGCUGAGUGAUCUUGGGCACUACUAAACUUUAUUGGGUCGAGACAACCUGCUGUGUGAUCUCGUGUAUAUUCCCCUCACUUAUACUCUAAUCUCGGCGGCAACCGAGAUUUGACAGUUGGUGUAAAUGUUAUACGUAGGGUAUUCCCCCUAGCUCAGUUGUAUUACAUUGUUGUUGAAAACUAUUACAUUAUGCCCAUGUGUUUUCAAAUGAUUUGAUAUGAAACUACUUUCUAAUGGUUCUCACCUAUAUUUGGAAAAAAAUAUUAGAUUUUGUUUUUGAUUUCUCUGCGUACCAGUACUUUUGUAUGGACCCCCUUUCCUCCCAGGUUUGGAGGCACAGUUUAGGGGUCUAGAUAACUAGCAGAUCUCUUCCGACAUAUUUGCAGAAUCAAGUGGUGAGCCUUCUAUAUUUCGGAAGGCCUGAUGUCUAUCAGUUCGUUUAUCAUUUAGUAGUUUUGGGUCUAUUGGGGGGACCUUGUCCCAGUUAUCAGACAGUAAUUUGUUUCAGUCAUGUAUUUGAGAUUUCGGAGACGGUUUUUCACAUGUCAAUAGAAGUUGUGGGACAUUAUUUCCCCUAUUUUGAUUUCAUUUGAUUUAUGACCAUGUUUUCUGUAAUAUUGUGUAUCUUCCGCAAUCUUAUUAUCAUAUGAAUUAUGUCUAUGAUUAUCAUAUAGAUAGAGGUAUUUCGGGCCUUCAUGGUUUGGAAUGCUCGUCACGGCCAGGGCCCGAUUCAUGUCGUGAAAAACUUGGUAUCAAAGCACGGUUCAUGGUCCCAGGGUUUCUGCAAAAUCGCAUUUGGUAGAGUCUUGUUUAUGCGUGUGUAGCGCGCCAGACUUAUAAGCAGGAGGCUACUAGGCAUUUAGGAAUGUCUCUCUUUGUUUAUUUUCUAGUUCGUGAAAUAGAGUCAGAAUAUUCCUCUUUCAUACUCUAAUUCGUGCUACGGUGUCUCCCAUUAGAAAGUAAAAGAAAAUCAUCCCAAAUUCUUUCCUUACGCUAAUGUCCUCAGCUAUGUCUCAUUAUAGAGGUGACUCAAGUGCAGAAGUUAAGAAUCUAAAUGGUAUGGUCCUUUCUGAUUGAAGCAUAUUAGAGUUAAAAUUUGUGCAAGGACUUGAGAAGUGUCCAUUAGUGCUUCAAUGUGUAUUGAUUCUGAUGUAAACAUUGAUCCUGAUGGAAUCGUGCCUUUCAGCUUGAGGUAUUAAUUGCAUUUAGUCCCCUUCAAAUUCAUGUUACAAAUGUCUUGCUUAAGGGGGAUGAUGUGUAGUAGAAUGUUGGAACUGUAUUUCCACCCGAGUAGUAGUAUGAAUUAAAGUGUUGUUGUCAUGACUUAUUGGUAGUGAAAUUAGACCAAGAAGUUGGUGAUGUGAAGUCACCAAGUUAGAAUUCAGAGCCAGGGUGAAUUUUAGGUAAAUGAGUAUUUUAGUUGAAUAACCGAUGAUCGAGAAUGAUUUACCCCCUUAUGAUGAUAGACUAAUAUGGUAACUAGUAGCAUGUGUGGAUAGUAUGGCAGUCCGUGGAGGAAGUGUUUGACUCCAAUUUUAUUUAUACAGAGUAAGAUGUGUAUUCUUUGUUCAUUAGAUAUUGCAUAUUAAAUUUCUAUCUCAUAUAAUCUUGUCAUCAAGGUGUUGUUGAAAAAAAUAAAGUCUAGUGAAGUCGUGUGGGGCUUUUUCAAUUCACUAGCAUAGUUUACAUGUCAUUCAUCUCAUUUUCUUGUUAAAAAUACAAAAUCAAAGUCUAGUGAAGCCGUGUGAGGUCUAUUUCGAUUCACUAGAAACUUGUUGUUCUUGUGUUGGUUUAAUAUCUAUAUAUAUAUAGCUGAAUCUGUUUGCAUGAGAUUGAGUUGGUAAAGAGGUGAUUCAUCCUUGUGUGUUAGUUUAGUAGAAGGUAGAGAAGGAAUUGUUAGUUAGGGUGAUUUGUCGGUCGCUUGAAGUAUUAAAAUGGCUAUAUUAGCCAGUAAGUUGUAAGUAUAGACUCAUGGUUGUUUGUGGAAUUUUAAAGUAGUCUAAAUGUAUGUUUGGGUAAGUAAGUAUGAGGUGAGAAAUCCAUAUAAGUAGAAAAUAUUGUAUGGGGUUAUAAUAUAAGAUUAAGGUUGAUCAUGUCUAUUAUGUAAGUUUAUCCCUAGACCUUCUUUUCGUUGGUAAUUGUAAACUAGUACUACUUGUGAGAAGAUAUGUAGUGAUUUUUGAUGUGUUUGUAUAGUAUGUCCCAAAUUUUAUGGACUAGCAUAUUAUGUGGCAUUUUUCAGUAGUGAUAGAAGAUUGGUACCGGACUAUAUGCUUGAAUUUAAUGUAGAAUGUGGUGGUACAAAUAGUGAGAUGAGAUUAAUGAUGUAUGUUUUGUGGGAAAAAAAUUAGUAGGCUUGAUGUGUUAAAAUAGUACGUGCUAAUGAGUUAUGAUAAGGAAGACCAUAAGGUCAAGAUCAAUUAUUUGAUGUUUGGAAGUUCUAGUGUACUAAUGUUUGUUGAUGUCUAUUUCAUGGUAUCCAAGUGAGAAUCAUGUGUAAGGUUGGGUUGUAAAAUCAUGUUUAGCACUAGACAUUAAGCUUUGAACAAUUGAUGUCCAUGAAGGUGGAUGUGAUAAUAUCUUGGUUAAUGAUACUAGUUUUAUGCAACUAAUCUAAUAGGCUUGAACAGUAUAUGCAAGAGCUUAAGUUUAUUUGAUUCGUAGUGAAGUAUGAUGUUGCAUAUAUAAUGUAGAAGUAUGCCCAAGGUGAUCUGAGGUUGCGGUAUUUUCUAAUACUAUUACACGUUUUGUGUGACAAGUGGUACCGUUGAGUUACUAGGUGGAUGAAGACUAUUUAGAUGGUAUAUGGUGUUCUAAAUAGCCAAGUUAAGGAGUUUUUAUUGAUAGUGUUGAGCCUUUUUAUAUGAUCUUGAUUCUCAUAGUAGAGAGAUGUAAGUUUGGACUUACGAUAUUGGUAUGCUAUGUCGGAAGUAGUAUGAUUCAUUGAAGGCUUGGUGAUAUCCAUGUUGACUGGUAGAUUCUAAGUUUGAGUUUUUGAAGGUUGAUCUAAUUGAAAUAAGAGUUAAAUCACUAGAUGGUGUGCACUCCGACUAUGGGGAUACCUAUGAAGACCGGAAGUUAGUAAGUGUGCAAGUAUUAUAUGAUGACUACUGGGUCUAUAGAAUGAUAAAGGGUAUCUCAGAAGGUAAUGUUAACAGUGGGUUUUCCACUUUCAGGUGUAGUCAUUCGGGUUAAGUGCCAUGAUAUGCGUGUAUAGUAGUUUUCUAGACCCCAGAGUGCAGUAAGUGUACUUCAGUUUAGAGUCUAGUAAGGGAUCUCCCAAACUUAAUAUGAUGGCUUGAAGCUAAGGGGGAGAUGAUAGAGCGAAUAACUAAGUCAGGCUUUCAGAUUCUAGUAGUGAUGUCCGUACGACAUAAAACAUCAGAAGGGAAGAGUGAGGCUCAACCCAUUCCGGUCUCACUAUUUUUUAGUUAUCCUAAUACCUACUCAUACCUCACGUUUCAGUUCCAUGAUCAUAGUUCAUGUUCAUUUUAUAUGAUAGAAAAUCACGUGCUCUUCCAGAUUCUUAAAUGAGGAACUUCAGUUCAUUCAGGCGUCGGAAUCACAUUCCAUACGUUAUGAACUCUAAAUUGGAUCAUCAGCUGUAUGCCAAAUUUUCCAAGUGUGAAUUCUGGUUAGACGUUAUUGCCUUCCUGGGGCAUAUUGUGUCCAGUGACGGGAUAAGAGUGGAUGCCCAGAAAGUUGAAGCAGUGAGAAAAUAACCCAGACCCACGACUCCAACCGAUAUUCAGAGCUUCUUGGGUUUGGCGGGGUAUUACAGAAGGUUCGUAGAGAGUUUUUCUUCCAUAGCUGCUCCAUUUACUAAACUGACUCAGAAAAAGGUGAAGUUUGUGUGGUCUGAAUUAUAUGAAAAUAGUUUUGAGAAGUUGAAGGACAAGCUGACUACUGCUCCUGUUUUGACCCUUUCCGAGGGUGUAGAUGAUUUUGUUGUUUAUUGUGAUGCGUCCCGUGUGGGACUUGGUUGUGUAUUAAUGCAGCGUGUUGAGGUGAUAGCUUAUGCAUCUAGGCAGUUAAAGGUGUAUGAGUGCAAUUACCCCAUUCAUGACUUGGAGUUAGCAACCGUGGUGUUUGCACUUAGAAUCUGGAGGCACUAUCUCUAUGGAGUGCAUGUUGAUAUUUAUACUGACCAUAAGAGUUUACAGUAUGUUUUCUCACAGAAAGAAUUGAACCUCAGGCAGAGGCGUUGGAUGGAGCUUUUGAAAGACUAUGAUAUGAGCCAGCAUUACCAUCCAGGAAAGGCAAAUGUUGUAGCCGACGCCCUCAACAGGUUGUCUAUGGGAAGCCUUUCUCAUGUAGAAGAAGAAAAGAAAAAGAUGGUGAAGGAUAUUCACCGUCUUGCAAAUCUGGGAGUACGACUCUUAGAUUCCAAAGAUGGAGGGGUGAUUGUUCAUGAGUUAGCUAAGUCAUCUCUUUAUGCUGAAGUUAAGGAGAAGCAGGUUGAAGAUCCCAUCUUGAUGCAAAUCAAGAAAGAUAUGGGUAAACAAAAGGUUAUGUCGUUUUAAAUUAGUGGUGAUGGUAUUAUGAGAUUUCAGGUUAGGUUGUGCGUUCCGAAUGUCGAUGGGCUAUGGGAAAGAAUCCUUAAUGAGGCACACACUUUGAGGUAUGUCAUUCACCCAGGCUCUACUAAAAUGUACCAUGAUCUGAAAACCGAAACUAGUAUGAUUCUAUAAGGGUGAUGGUAGAUCGGUUGACCAAGUCAGCCCACUUUUUGCCUGUGAGGACUAAUUAUUCGGGAGAAGUUUAUGCUAAGAUUUACAUUGAGGAGAUAGUUCGAUUGCAUGGGGCACCAUUGUCCAUUAUAUCCGAUAGAGGUACGCAGUUUUCAUCUCAGUUUUGGAGAUCCUUUCAGAAGGGUUUAGGUACACAAGUGAAUUAGAGCACAGCUUUCCACCCUCAGACGGACAGACGGAUGGGCAAGCUGAGCGUACCAUUCAAACCCUCGAAGAUAUGUUGAGGGCAUGCGUCAUUGAUUUCAAAGGUAGUUGGGUAGAUCACCUGCCAAUGGUUGAAUUCGCUUAAAAUAAUAGCUACCAUGCCAGCAUCAAGAUGGCUCCUUUUGAGGCUUUGUAUGGGAGGAGACGUAGGACUCCGAUAGGAUGGUAUGAAGUAGGUGAGACUCAGUUGUAUGGGCCUGAUCUUGUUCAUCAGGCGAUGGAGAAAGUGAAAAUCAUUAGAGAACGACUCAAGACUGCUCAGAGUCGUCAGAAGUGCUAUGCCGAUGUUCGGAGAAGAGAACUAGAGUUUGAAAUUGGUGAUUGGGUGUUUCUCAAGGUUUCUCCUAUGAAAGGAGUUAUGCGGUUUGGAAAAAAGAGAAAAUUGAGCCCUCGUUAUGUAGGGCCAUAUCAGAUUUUGAAGACAAUUGGUACAGUUGCAUAUGAGUUAGAAUUGCCUGCAAGUUUGGGUUUCGUUCAUCCGGUAUUCCAGGUAUCCAUGUUGAAUAAAUGCAUUGGAGAUCAUUCUAUGAUAUUGCCAGUAGAGGGUAUCAAAGUGAGCAUUGGAGAUCAUUCUAUGGUAUUGCCAGUAGAAGGUAUCAAAAUGACAGACUCCUUAUCUUACAAAGAAGAGCCCGUUGAAAUUUUAGAUCACCAAUUUCGAAAGCUGAGGAGCAAAUAAAUAGCCUCAGUAAAGGUACUGUGAAGGAAUCAGAAGGUCGAAGAAGCAACUUGGGAGUCAGAAGAUGACAUGAGAAUUAGAUAUACCAAUUUGUUUGCUUCGAUGAGGGAGGAUACAGAAGGUACUAUUCUUAUCUUAUCUUUCCUAGUCCAUUAUUAUGCUUGAAAUCGUGUCUGUCUGUGUCCCGCAUCAUCAUUCGGGGACGAAUGAUCCUAAGGGGGGGAUAAUGUAACGCCCUGCACUUUGGGCUAGAAUAAAAAUCAUGAUUUCGAUGCGUUGCUAAUCCGAAGCCAUAAAAUCCUAUGUCAAUACGGCAUGUUAAUUAUAGUGUAACAUGUGAAUCCGCUCAAGCUUUGAAUUUAGACCAUAGAGGUCCUUCAACUCAAGGAUGAGUUGAAACUAUUUUGGUCGACUAAGUUUUAGUGGACGUUGUAAAGUGUGUCAUCUUCCAUCGACCAUAAUUCUCUGUAUAUGCCGAAUUAGGAAGCCUACUAUGUGUCAAAUGAUAGGCAUUCGAGUUAGCUUUCCAACGAUAUCAAUUUGGCUAAAAUCAAACACCCGAGCAAGAAGUUAUGACCUUUCAAAGUGAUAAGCGACGCCUAACCAAUCUCCCAUGGCCACUGGAAAGCAUAGGCGAUAGCCAAGGCGGCGCCUAUGUGAACAUAGGCGAUGGGAUGGGCGGCGCCUAUGUAAGAAAUUCUGGAAAUUUAAACACUCCGUGUUGAGGACAAAGUGGUCCUUUUCCACCCUUACUUAGCCCUAAAACACGAGAUUUAGUUCCAAGGACCCCAAAAUACAUAUUCUUUCAUCAAAAGUGCUCAAGAUUCUCCUUAGGGUUUCAAAANNNNNNNNNNNNNNNNNNNNNNNNNNNNNNNNNNNNNNNNNNNNNNNNNNNNNNNNNNNNNNNNNNNNNNNNNNNNNNNNNNNNNNNNNNNNNNNNNNNNNNNNNNNNNNNNNNNNNNNNNNNNNNNNNNNNNNNNNNNNNNNNNNNNNNNNNNNNNNNNNNNNNNNNNNNNNNNNNNNNNNNNNNNNNNNNNNNNNNNNNNNNNNNNNNNNNNNNNNNNNNNNNNNNNNNNNNNNNNNNNNNNNNNNNNNNNNNNNNNNNNNNNNNNNNNNNNNNNNNNNNNNNNNNNNNNNNNNNNNNNNNNNNNNNNNNNNNNNNNNNNNNNNNNNNNNNNNNNNNNNNNNNNNNNNNNNNNNNNNNNNNNNNNNNNNNNNNNNNNNNNNNNNNNNNNNNNNNNNNNNNNNNNNNNNNNNNNNNNNNNNNNNNNNNNNNNNNNNNNNNNNNNNNNNNNNNNNNNNNNNNNNNNNNNNNNNNNNNNNNNNNNNNNNNNNNNNNNNNNNNNNNNNNNNNNNNNNNNNNNNNNNNNNNNNNNNNNNNNNNNNNNNNNNNNNNNNNNNNNNNNNNNNNNNNNNNNNNNNNNNNNNNNNNNNNNNNNNNNNNNNNNNNNNNNNNNNNNNNNNNNNNNNNNNNNNNGUGUCUCUCCCUCACUUAUACUCUAAGCUCGGCGGCAACCGAGGUUUGACAGUUGGUGUAAAUUAUGUAGGGUAUUCCACCUAGCUCAGUUGCAUUUCAUUAUUGUUGAGAAAAACUAUUGCAUUACACCCAUGUGUUUUCAAAUGAUUUGAUACGAAAUUGCUUUAUAAUGGCUCUCAACUAUAUUUUGUAAAAAUAUUAUGUUUUUCUUUGAUAUCUCUGCGUGCCAGUACUUUUGUGCUGACCCCCUCCCCUCUCCAACCUCUCAAGUUCAGAGACCCAGUCUAGGGGUCAAGAGAAUCAGUAAAACUUUAAGACAGAGCUGUAGAGACAAGUGGUGAGCCUUCUAUGUUUCGGAAGGUCUUAUGUCCUGCAGUCCUUUUAUCUUAUAUUCAGUUUUUGAGUCUGCUGGGGGCCUUGUCCCAGUUUUCAGAUAGACAUUGUUUCAGUCAUAUAGUAGAGAUUUCACAGACGAUUUUAGAGAUGUUGAUUUAGAUUGUGGGACACUAUUCCCUAUUGUCGUUUUCAUAUGAUUCUUGACCAUGUUUUCGUUAUAUUGUGUUUCUUCCGCAUUAAUUUGAUCAUAUGAAUUGUGUGCAUGAUUAUCAAACAAAUAGGGGUGUUUCGGGCCUCCAUGGUUUGAAAUGUUCGUCACGGCCAGGCCCUGGUUCGGGUCGUGACAAUAUGAUAAGGAACCAUGUACCCUGCUAGUUCCUAGUAUGAUGAGUUCCCAGUUUGUUUAGCAGUCAGAAUCCCUUUUCGUAAGUUAUGAAUUCAAAAAAUUCAGAUCAUGCAGUUCAUGACUCUUGUGCACAUGUGAUACUCUUAACGAUUAGUGAAAAUUCAGAUUUAUAUCCGGUACGUCCUCAUAUUAGAUCUCUUCAAUGAUUCCAUGCCGUGAAUGCUCUAUUCCUCACGCCUCAGUAGGGUAUCAAGUUAUGCUUAGUACUCCCCUCAUGUUCCGGAUUCCGGUAUUCCAAUUUUUCAGUGACUUUUUCCCUUAGGUCGAGAUAGUGAUGAUGAACAGUUGUUUAGAUGGGAAAAAAAAACAUUUCUUGUUGAUGAAAGAUGGUUGUAUUCUUAUGUGAGUUAAGGCGAAAAUUGUAGAGUAAGAUUGAGGCCGAGUCAUUGAUAAAUGUCAAGGUUAGUUGAAGUUUUAUGUGUUAUAUUAGGGAAAAAUUGUUGUGCGCUUGUUUUAUGUAAGUCUAUAAGUUGAAAGAAUUUUCAGGUGAAGUUUCGUUUAUGGCUUGGUUAAUUAAGGAUAUUUUAUGUGUAUCAUCUGAAUAGUGCAGGGAAGUUGUUAUGGAUAGAAGUAUUAGAGAAUAUGUGAAGUAUGCUUUAUGAGUGGUUGUUUAGAAGUGCACAUGUGGGUAUGAAGAUAGGCUUGAAUGUCAUGUUUAUAUGCAUAUGGAUGGAUGCCUUGAGUGUUUGUAAAUGUCUAAUAUGAAGUUGAAGGUGAUUGCUGGAGUGGCAAUAAGAAUUAUGCAGGAGAUGAGGAAUUGUGAAAUGCAGGGUGUGCUAAAUUCAUGAUUCAGUAAGAUCAGGUUCCCAGUUUAAAUUUUUCCAAUUUCGUUCAGAAGUUAACAAGGGUAGUUUGGACUUUUUUUCAAGUCUCUUAAAAUGUCCAAACAGGAGAUUUAGACCUCUACAAGCAUAAUAUACGACAUUCUCAAGAUUUCCCUCAAAACAAAAACCCUAGUUCAUAUACUUCUCCUCCAAGAAACUCAAGAUUCAACCAUGAAUUUUCAAAAUUGAUCGAAGAUUUGGAAUCCCCAAACCGUAGGCUUCAAGGAUCAGUCAUUAUUCUUUAUAAUCGAGGUACGCGGGGUUUUUCUAAAAUCUCAUGGGUAUAGAAAUCAUGAUUUUAAGAAAGGGAUUUUUGAAUUUAUGAAUACAUGCAUGUUUUAGAAGCUUCGAUAAUAUUGUUUUGGUCUUUAGGCCUUCCCCCAAAUUGAUUUGAAUUGUAUAUAUGAGUGUAUGCAUUGAAAACCGUGAAUUAUGAAUCGAGAGUAUGAAAUAUAUAAUCUCUCUCCUAUUACUUUGUUAUUUGAUUUACAAGUUAUGAAUCCUUACAUUUUAUGGUUUACAGAAUGAUUCAAGAUACUAUUUAUCUUAUGUGAAAUUCAUAAUGAUUAAGAAUGGGAGAGAGGAAUGCUUUAAUGAUUUUAAGUGUUGAGAUUGAUAAACAAAGAAACUUCAGGAAUGUUUUUGAGAAGUUGGCCACUACUUAUUGAAAUUGUUGAAUGAAUGGAAAGCCUUUGCAUGAUUUUUGACUUAUGAUUUGAGAUAUGACUCUUCUUACACUAUAUGCAUGAUCAAGUGGCCUGAACAUUGUUUUAGAAUAAAAUAAUCAUAUAUGGCUCAGAAUAACGACUUGCAAGUCUUGGUAUGACGAUGCCAACUCAGACAAUGCCAUAACUAAAACAGACUAAUACAGAAAUCAGACUUUCAUAUUUUAAAAUUUCAGAAUGAUGCAUGUUCAGAAAAGGCUAAAACAGGGAAGAGGGCAUGAGUUCAGAUAACUCAUUGCCCAAAACCGUGAUUUGCCGAUCCGGGUAUAUUAUAUUACGCUGGCCUAGUGCUAUGUGGCGUAUCAAAAUCAAACACUCCAACCCUUGCGGCAUACUUGGGUUGGGGGCUUCCCCGCCAAGUUAAUGGCGGAUUCCAUAUUAGCUCGUAGAAUAUCAGAGUUAUAGGGGAGUUCCACCUAACUCAGAAGUAAUACAAAGAACAGAUAGUGCAUUGACAAGAAUGCCUUAUGAUUUUCAGAAAGUGCCCAUGUAUUUUGAGAACUGUUUAUGCAUGAUGUUUUAACAAAUUGCUCUUCACUAUUUUACUUAUAUAAAAGUUUUAUUUUGGAUUACUUUGUAUACUAGUACAUCUGUAUUGACCCCCCUCCCCCUUCCUCCCUCCAGGUUCUGAGGCUCAGUCUAAGGGUCCAGAAAAGCAAUAGAUUUUAUCAAACAGAGUUGCAGUGUCCAGUUGGUGAGCCUUCUUUAUUCCAGAAGGCCUGUUUACUUUUAGACAACUAUUAUUAGAUAUGGUUUUGGUCUACUGGGGGCCUUGUCCCAGUUUUCAGAACAAUUUUGAGAUGUAGUAGAGAUUUCGCAGACUGGGUCAAAUCUUAUUCAGAUGUUUUGAAUUGCAGUUUUCUUUCUUAUGUCUUGAAACCCAAGGUUAAUGACCAUGUUUCCGUAUCAGAUUUUAUUUUCGCAUUUUCUUUUAUGAUAUGAAUGUUGUGCAUGAUUACCAGAUCAGAUAGAGAAGGACAUUCGGGCCUUCAUGGUUCGGGAUGUUCGUUACGGCCAGACCCUAGUUCGGGUGGUGACAACUUCGGAGUUCUGAUGGGAUCUGGUGCGUUAGUGUUGGUAUGAUCCGGUCCAAAAAAGCCUCUAACAACCGAAUAUCAACCUAUGUCAGGACAUGCCCCCGAUUGUAUCCGAAAGAAGUCCAAAGAGAUACUCUACUACAUAAGAGAAACAAGACUAUGAAAUGACAAAGCCUCCGAGGGAUGGAAGCUCACGACUUCAAAGUUGAUCAACGAACAAAUCUGAAUCACCUAGCUCUGCACAAGAUAACCGAAACACCCCCAGGACUCUGCAUUGCAUAGGGAUACAGCGUCCGGGGGCGGUUAGUAGGAUGAGCACUAGCAUGUAAGUCAAGAAUAAGGGACAAAAUAAUGGCAUUUCAAAAUAUACAAAAUCAGUCAAAUCCAAUGCACAUAAUCUAACGCAUAUAGAGAGAGAGAGAUACACACAUACACAUACACAUACACAUACACAUACACAUACACAUACACAUACACAUAUGCAUAAAUACAUAUACAUAUACAUGUACAUCUACAUACAUAUACAUAUACAUACAUAUAUAUAUAUAUACAUAUACAUAUACAUAUACAUAUAUAUAUAUAUCACUUGCUGGGAUAGGGAACAAGACUUAGCAUGAACUUUAAAAUUUUUACCUAGAAUGUACAGCUUGACUAUCAUAAAAACCACCCACGCGCUAUAUGGGUCCAGUGUCACCCCCUAGAUGGGCGUAUUAGUCGUACGAACCGAAGAUAUCAUCGAAGGUCGGGGAUUGCCUUGUACCUUUCGUCCUCCAUGAUACAUAUGUACAUAUAUACACUUGGGGUAUUUCCUUGUACCCCGCAAGCACACGGUCAUCAAGACCAACCCUCAUGUCGGCAAACAUGAGUUUUCAGUAUCAGUUCUUCGGACCCACACCUUCACGGCUAGCUAUCACAACCCCUAUUAAGCCCAAUUAAAACAUUCAACACAUAACCCAACAGUUACAUGAAGGGGUCAAUCAUCAAGGCAUCAUUAAGUGGUAUUGUCAUACCGACUAUAGCUUGCAAGCAAAGUCAUUAGCCAACACUUUUGGAGAUUUCCUCGUACCCCACAGACUCCAUUAUUAAAAUCGCUUGAGGGAUUCCCGUGUACCCCACAAGGUUUUCAAGACCUUUUUGACAUCAAAUUAGCCAAUUAUGUCAUGCAUUAGUUUCAAAGUAGUAAAUCAAACCAAACACUUUGGGGAUUCCAUUGUACCCCUAUCACCAUAGUUUACAAAAUUAGGGAAUCCAUCGUACCCCGAAUUCAUUAAUCCUUUUCAUAUCAAUGCAUUAAUUCAAGUUACAAAACUAUAUUCAUUGACAAUUUCGAAAACAUGUUGAGGGCAUUCAAUUUUCAAAACCAAAAUCAAGUAAUUGGGGAAUCUGUAGUACCCCAAAAUUUAUUUAUCAUUCCCAUGCACCCCACAAUAUUCAAAAUCAAUAGUAAAGCAUGAAUGUUGCACAAAUGAUCAUGGAAAAUUAAUAAAAUAACCAAUCAUGUCAAAAUCCCUCAACUAUGAAAAACCCACAUUCAAAACCAUACAUUAACAAUCAAUGUCGUGUUGUUAAUAAAAUUAUAGUUCAGGGGAAAGAGAUACAUGCCUAAAAUAUCAAGGAUUACGGAAAGAAAUCAACGCUUGAAGCUUUAGAUGCCCAACCCUGAGAAAACCCUAGGUAGUUCUCUUCUCUUUCUUAAGGAAAGAUGAUUAGGGGAUUUUGUGAGAGAUAAGACGUGUUUAAAGACGUUAAUUUCGUUCAUAUAGGAUUAGGAACGGUUAUAGGGCGUGAAAAGACCUUAACACAAAAUGGAACAAUUUAUGACGCUUGGCUUUUGCUUGCCAACGCAUGGCCAAAGCCAACCCGAGGCAGUGUGCUUUGGCGAUUGCUCCGCGACGCAUACCCAACGCGGACCCUGGAAAGGGUCCCACUCAAACACCUAUAAAUUUUGAUUCUGAACUCAGAUUGACAAACAGUUGGUAGCGUUGGAAACAAGACUCAAAGGGAUUUAAUUUGAUAUAUUAUGGUCCACAUAAAUCCUCAUAUUCUAGGAGUAAUGGUCGCUGGAAGUUGACCCAAGAAAAAUCAUUGACUAAAACUCAACCGGUAAGAAAGUGCUCAACUUAACUUUGAGCUAGGGGCUUGUAUGACGUAUACUCAUCUCCAAAGAUGUUCUCACACUAAAGUAUUGAUAUUCACAAUUAUUUCCAACUAUAAACCAUUGGAUGCAGGUCUAUAUACAUCGAAAAGAUGGUUCAACUUUAGCCCCAAAAAAGGGGUGUUACAGUGUCGGUCUUAGUCGCGGUAGAAGGGCACUCCCUUUUUCGUUUGACCACAAGCUAAUAAACUAUAAAUAUGUCAUCCACGUAGCUUCAGACGAGGAGCUUUGGAGUAACUGGUAAAGUUGUUGUCCUGUGACUAAGACGUCAUAGGUUCAAGUCAUGAAAACAGCCUCUAACAGAAAUGCAAGGUAAGACUGCAUCAAUAUACCCUUGUGGUCGGGCCCUUCACCGGACCCACACAUAGAGGGAGCUUAAGUGCCACGGGAGAAGCAGUGUUAUUCCUCUAUCAGUUGUUGAUCCAAAAAGUAUUAAUGCGAUUUAAGUUUAGAAUCUUGAGGUGAAUUUUGAAUUUCCUGAAACAGUGAGUCCUAAGUCUUGUAUUUAAGGGAUUCAAAAUAUUACACAUAAAAAUAAUAUUACAGUGUAAUUUUUUAUAGAAGGGAUUCGGGUGAACAUUCUCCCACCCUUUUAGAUCGGCCCGUCCUCUAUAGGGAUAAUUACAACCAACCUCUUAUUUCCAUAUGAGAUAUCCAUUGACAAAUUCAGGGAAAAUCACCAAUUUUGAAGUGGUUAAAAUUCACCAAUGGAUAGCAUCAGAUUUUAGAAUACUAGGGGAAUGAACAGGCCAGGAAAGUAAGAAGAAAUGAACCUCUUCUUGCACAAUAGCAAAGCUAGUCUGUUUGAACUCCUAGAGACCAAAGUCAAGAAACCCGAGGCUCAACAAGCAAGGGGUGGUCUUUUUGCACAAAUCUGUCAGAAUAUCCGGGUGGUAGAAUUUGGGUGUUGUAGAAGCCAGUGGUGUCUGAGGUUAACAUCAUCCAUGUGACUGUACAAAUCAUCAACUGCGCAGUUACAAAUAGAGGGACUAAACUACAAUUCAUGGUUACUAUAGUCUAUGGAUUCAAUGAUCCAACUCUUUGAAGGGAGCUUCGGAAGGAGCUGGGGUUCAUACAUAGGACGGUACAAGGGGCAUGGGCAAUUAUUGAGGACUUUAAUUAUGUGGCAAAUAGGGACAAAAGCAGUGGCGGAGCCAAGAUUAAUACUAAGGGGUUCAAAAAUUGAAAAAGUGAACAUACGAACGAGCUGAAGGGGGUUCAACCUCUACUAUAUAUACAUAAAAAAAAAUUUAACCAUGUCUAAAUAGUAUAAUUUUUCAUCAAAGGACCCCUACAGCAAAGGUGGUUCCACCCCUGGACGAGAGAAUAGGGAGUCAUAUGUUGAAACUGGAGAUUUUAGACAGUGUAUAGUAGAAUGUGAAGUCCAAGAUUGUAAAUCAUCGGGAGCUUAUUUUACAUGAAACAAUGCGCAAGGUGGGAAUAAUAAAGUCUAUAGCAAAAUAGACGGAUUUCUAGUUAAUAGGGACUGGAUCACAAUAUUGCCAUCUUCUGAGGUACACUAUGGAACACAAGGCUUAUAUGUCCAUUGUACAAGAAUAAUGAGAUGAGAAGGAAUUCAACAACAUAUCCCAAGAUUUAGAUAUUUUAUCAUGUGGGGCUUGAAUCCUAGCUUUCAUGAAAGUGUACAAAGAAGGUGAAUAGAUUGAAAGCACCACUAAGAGCUCUGAACAGAGAUAGGUUUCAUGAAGUAUAGAGAAAUACUCUCUUAUUCACUACUUGUUACUAUUUCGCUUCUCGAGGUCAACUUACAUGAACUUUGACAAAAAUUUUAAGAUGUAUACUUAAAUAUUUAAAAUUUAAAAUUUAGAUGGUUGGAAACUAUGCAAAAAAUGCUACAAAUUGCAAUCCUUCUCAUAUUAAUAUGAUGAAAAAAAACUCGAGAAACAAAAUAGUGACAAGUAAAAGCGAACAAAGUGAGUACAAAUCAAGCUUAGGAAAAGAUAAUAAACUAAUAAGAGAUGCUAUAAUAGGACCCACUAAAUCCGAAGUGGAUAACUAAAAAGAUUGCUAGUGUGAUAGAAGUAGAAAGGUGGUGUGUAGCUAGAAGUCUGUACUUGCAGCAGAAAUGCAAAUGUUACUGGUUGAAUCAUGGGGAUCUAAACACCAAAUACUACCAUCAUUCGUUGUAAGCUAGAAAAAACAUUAACUAAAUCUUUACUAUCAAGGAUCGUAGAGGCAUCACAGAUAGAGAUAUAAGUGAUAUGGCACAAGCAUUUAUAGAGUUUUACCAUAAUUUGCUAGGAUCAUAAAUUACCAAUAGGGAUCAUAUAGCAAGAGAAGUGAUCCAGCAGGGAGAUGUAGUUAUAGUGGAGCAAAGACAGAUAUUAUAUGCUACAGUGACAAUGAAAGAGAUCAAACAAGCACCGUCGAGCAUUUCAGGGGGUAAGCACCUGAACCAGAUAGGUUUGGGAGCCAAUUGUGGUUGGUGCCAUUAUGAAAUUCUUUAGGAAUGGGAAAGUGUUGAGAGUUUGGAAUAAAACAGUUAGUACUUUGGUGCCAAAAUCAUAAUAUGCUGUUGACGUAGGAGAUUAUUGACCCAAUGCAUGUUGCAAUACUACCUACAAGGUGAUAUUAAAAAGUAUUGUGCAAUAGGCUGAAGUAGGAACUUCCAACCAUCAUCUUGGAGAACCAAAGUGCUUUUGUACAAGAUAGGACAAUAGUAUAAAAUAUUCUCAUCUGCCAAGACCUAGUCAGAACAUACAACAAGAAGCAGCCUACCAAGAGUUGUCUAAUGAAACCAGACUUUAAAAAGCCUAUAACACUGUUGAAUAAGGAAAAUGUUGCAUGCUUUGAACUUUUCGGGCCAAUUUAUCAGAUAGAAAAUGGAGUGUCAGACAACAACCCAAUUUACAAUUGUUAUUAAUGGGUCCUUGUAUGAGAAUAUAAAAAUGAGAAGGGUGCCUUUAAGUACCUGGGGGUGCCCAUAUCAUAUUGAAGAUUAUCAAAGAUCGAUUGUGAAGUGCUGUUGGAGAAAAUAACAGGAAGAAUACAAAGUCGGGGGUUCAAGACACUUAUCUUAUGCAGGGAAAACACUCCUUAUGAAUACAGUUUUACUGCAUAUUCAUAGCUAUUAGGCAUCAAUGUUUAUACUGCCUAAGCAAGUCUUGAAAGUUAUAACUAGUGUGUGUGCAAGAAACUACUUUAAAGAUCACCCUAAUAGCCUGAGAUCUUGUCUGUAGAUCCAAAAAGAUGGGGCUGGGGGGUUACUGAAUGUAUUCAUUGAAAUGAGCCUGUAGUGGCUAAGUAUGUAUGGACAGAGGCGGAUCCAGGAUUUCAAACUUGUGGGUUCCCAAUAAAAAAUAGGGGCUGAAAAGAAUUUAAUUGAAAAAAGCAAGCACCUUCACAGGGAAUCGAACCCAUGUUCAACUACCAAAGAGACAUGUUGCUAAGGGGUUUCCCUCCUACCACUGCGCCAUCCCUUGAUUUAUUUAUAGGUUCCCACCUUUUAAUAUUCAUACAUUUUGGCAAUUUUUCUCAUGUAACACCUGCUACCGUAGAUCCUUCCAUACAGUAUGGAACAUUUCACAAAAGACAGAUAAUCUGUGGGUCAAGUGGAUUGACCAUGUCUACCUAGAGGAUAGGGAUUGGUGGUACUCAGGGGCGGAGCCACCUUAUGGUUAGUGGGUUAAUCGGGACAUCCUUAUACGGAAAAUUGUACUAUUUAUAUAUGGUUAAAAUUAUUUUUUCUGUAUAUAUAAUUGAUGUUGAACCUCUUCAGCUAGUUUACAUGUCUACUUCUUUCGAUUUUGAACUUACUUAGUGAAAAUUCUGGCUCCGCCACUGGUGGUACUAUAAGUUACCAUAGGACACAAGUUGGCAUUGAAAGAAAACAUGUCAUAUGAGAGACAAAUUUGCAGCUAGAAAUAAUCAAAAUGGGCGGCUCACGGUCAUAGGGAGAUAUAUAGUGAGUAGUGGUUAUAAGUGGAAAAGAUAGCCUCGUCUCCCAUAACAGCCUGAAUAAGAUAUGCUAUGUUCCACUGUAUAAGUAAUUCUCUACCUCCAAGUCAAAGCAAUUUCGCGCUAUUUUUGCAAAUGUCAUUAAAUAACUAAGUUGGACAUGGAGCAGUGUGGAGUAAAGGGAACCUACCCAAACAUAGCUUCAUCAGUUGGCUGGUACAUAGGAGACUCCUGAUAAAGGAGAGACUGAUGAAGAUAGAAGCAAAUCAAGACAACAGAUGCCUAAUAUGUGAUAAUGUUGUAGAAACCAUAGAGCAUCUUUUCUUUGAGUGUGUUUUCUCAAUGAUAUGCCUAAAUAAUCUUCUUGCGUGUUAAAGAAGGGAAUACAUAUGCUAGAUCUCAAAGGGCUUGGGAGAAGACUGGAUCUCAAAGGGGAUGAGGGAAAUCACGUUAGUAUUAGUUAUAGGAUGAUUUAGGACGUAAAUGGCUAGUUUGCCCUCGAAAAAACUGAAGAGAAACGUGAGUUUUAGCAUCUCUAGGAACAUAGGUGUGCCACGCUCUUAUUGCGGAGCACAAAGGGCAUGCCACGCUCUUAUCGCGGAGGGCAUGCCACGCCCUUAUUGCGGACCCUCACUGGUUCGCUCGCGAAACUGGUCAUAACUUUUUGCUCGGGUAUUAAAUUAAGGAAAAAUUGGAUGUGUUGGAAAGAGGGCUCAAUUGUCUUUCAUUUGGUAGGUCUUAAGCUCAAAAUUCUAUAUAUUUUAGAAGCUAUAAAUGUUCAAAGUUGACCUUGUAGGAUCGAGUAUCAAAAUUAAGUCUUUGAACAUUCUUCACCUCGAAAGCACUUUACACACUAGGUAAAUGAUCAUGGCCCUUAUAUUUACAUAGAAAUCAUGAGCUUCGGGUUUACACACGUAGGAAUGACGGUUCGAAUUCUAGCCCGAAAAUAUCAGGUGUUAUAAGAGAAGACCGGAUUGAGGGACAAAAGGGAGAGAAUGUAGGGAGCUGGUGAUAGCAAAAUUUACAACAUUGUUGUACAGGAUCUGGAAGGCAAGGAAUACAGUACUAUGGGAGUCCAAACUACCAAGACCACAGUGAACAAAUAGAAUUACUAAAGGAGAUAUUCUUGAAUAGAAGCAAAAGCUCACAACAUAUAGAAUGGAUAGAAAUGAUUCUUAGAUAAGAAUUAUGAAUAUAUAGUUGAGAAAAGAAUAUUGGUUACUUUAUAGGUUUUAAAUUGUACUAUUCUGAGUAGAGAUUAAUAAAAAUGUUCUUCUUCACCAAGAAAUUAAGUUCUUUUAGAAAUCAAAGUCAUUGAAUUGACAAACUGCAUUAGAGGAGUUUUUCAUUAUAUUGAGAGUUAGUUACAUGUAGUUAGUUAAAAGUAAUUGGUUACACUGCUAUUGUUUCAUUUAGCGGUGCACUGCUACAUUAGUGUACUUAACUAACCGAUUAGCUAAUUAGUUACUACUACUUGCCAGCUAGGAUAGUGUCAGAUAGGGAGCUUCUAGAUGAUUCUAGAACCACUAGUUAAGUCUAUAAAUACUCCCUAAGUCAAGUGGAUAAAUCAGUUGUAAUAGCUUAUUUCCCAUUCUUCUAUCAAUGACUACCCUGCUUUUGCUUCUUCUCCAUAACUGAUACUCUUCUUCUCUAGAGUUAGAAGAUGAAUUGCGCAUUGUUGCUGUAAAUUUCACAUGGUAUCAGAGCACCAGGUUAUUGUAGAUGCAAGGAUAUUGACAUCCAACUAAAGAGGAGUUUAGAUCUCUGAGUUCUUAGCUGAAGCAUCAAGUGGUUAGGUUUCUAUUUUUUAAUUACAAAUUUUUGAGCUGUUUUGUCUACAUGUGUUGAUAACUUAGAUCGUUAAAGUGUGGCUUAAAUUAGUGCAGAAUUUAGAUGCUUUUGAAGAAUUAGAUGGCAUCUAAGAUAGAUUCUAGUGAUCCAUUGUACAUAGGGGCAUCAGAAGUAUCUAGUGCUACAUUGAUUCCAAUCAAACUCACUUAAUAUAGAGAGUGGAGUCGUUCAAUGCGAAUUGCCUUGUUAGAAAAAAUGAAAUUUGGCUUCAUAACUAGAGCAUGUAGUAAGGAUAACUAUAGAUAAGAAUUGCAUGAGUAGUGGGAAACUUGUAAUGCAAUUGUGCUCUCUUGGUUGCUACGCUCUGUUAGUGCAGAGUUGUUAUCCGGAAUUGUGUAUGCAACAAGUGCAUUUAAAGUAUGGGAGGAUUUGAAGGAGAGAUUUGGCAAGGUGAAUCGUAUGAGAUUGUAUCAAUUGCUUAGGAAAUCAGUACUUUGGCACAAGGAACUGAUUCUGUGGCAACUUACUUCACAAAGUUGAAGAAUCUGUGGAAUGAGUAUGAUGCAGUAGUUUCAGCACCAUCAUGUAAUUGUCCAAAGUCAAAAGACUAUGCAGAUCACAUGUAUGAAUCAAGGCUAAUUCAGUUUUGAAGUGGUUUAAAUGAUUCAUAUGACUCAACAAGGAGAUAGAUUGUGCUGAAAGGAGUUACACCUACACUUAAUUAGGCAUAUGCCAUGAUAAUGGAGGAUGAGAUGCAGCAAUUAACCUGUGUAAUUACUAUCAAUGAGAAGACAGAUCCAAUGGCAACGUAGGUGAAUAGAGGACAAAAUAUGAGCUUUGGAAGUCAAGGUUACGGAGGAAAAAAGUGUGAUUAUUGUCACUUUAAUGGUCAACUAGAGAAAACUGUUAUAAGCUGAUAGGUUACCCAACUGACUGAAAGCAAAGGAAGAAGCUCAGCUAUAAUGAUGGAGGUUUAAAGGGCAACAAUUAUAAAGGAUAUGGAAGAACAAAUGGACAAGGAAAUCAAUAUGCAGGUCAGGUUCAUUCUCAACAUCCAUAAUAUAGUUUUAUUUAUACAGGAAACCAUGCUUCCACCAGACAUCAAGAGAAUAAGGAGAUCAACAAUGCAAUUUUGGAAAAAGGGCAUGGCUUCACUAAUGGAGAACAUAAGCAACUCAUGGAGAUACUGAACAUAGAUCCACAAGAUGUAAAACAGGAUAUUAUGUCAAGUAUGGCCACCUUUUUAUUAUCUUAUGUUGUGUUACAUGAGUGGAUAGUUGAUUCUGUUGCUACUCACCAUAAAGCUGCAGAUAAAGAUGUGUUGUCCACAAGUAAGAUAGUUAGGUCAGGUAUGGACAAGGUGAACCUUCCUAAUGGUGCAGAAGUUGACAUUUCACAUAUUGGUGAAGCCAUAGUAUUUUAGAAUGCAGUUGUGAAGGAUGUGUUAUUUGUGCCUGAUUUCAAGCUCAACUGUUGUCUGUGUCCAAAGUCAUUAAGCAGUUAUCUAGCUUUAUAUCCUUUUACCCUGAUUUUUGUGUAUUCUAAGAUCUUUACACUGGAAGGGUGAAGGGGAUUGGUAAAGAAACGAGGAAGUUUGUACAUACUUAAAGGUGAAUGUGGAAUAAGUGAUUUAUCCUCAGAGCAAACAAAACUAAUAGUAGGAUUGAUUGUUAAAGAUAACUUAUAGCAUACAUCCCUAUGCUCAAGAGUUGAAAUCUUUAGAUCUUUUGAAUCAUAAUAAGGACAUUAAGGUCUUGAACAGUUGUCGUGUAUGUCCAUUAGCUAAACAAGCCAGAUUGACAUUCCUAUUAGCAAUACUAGGUUUGUUGCAUGCUUUGAUAUUGUACACAUGGAUCUAUGAGGACCUUAUAAAACUCCUGCUUUUGACAUGAAAUUUAUUGUAUGACUAUUGUGGAUGAUAACACCAGAUAUACUUGGAUCCAUUUAUUGCAACCUAAGUCUGAAACCAUCAUAGCUUUUAAAAGCUUUAUACUCAUGAUUAAAACAUAGUUUGGAACUACUGUCAAGGUUAUAACAUCAGACAAUGGGACAGAGUUUUUCAACUCAAAAUGUCCAAACUUGUUUAAGUCCUUAGGCAUCCUGCAUCAAAGUAGUUGUCCUCACACACCACAGCAAAAUAGUGUGGUUGAAAGAAAGCACAGGCAAAUCCUAAAUGUUGCUAGAGCUAUCAGGUUUCAAUCCCAUAUACCUAUCAGAUUUUGGGGAAUACUUAUUCAAAAUGAAGUGUAUAUAAUGAAUAGAUUACCAUCAUCUUCUAUCAUUGGUAAGAGCCCUUAGGAGUUGUUAUGCUCGAAGGUUCCUUCUCUAGUUCAUCUGAGAGUAGUUGGGUGUCUAUGCUAUGCUUCAGUAUUGCCUAGAGGUGAUAAAUUUUCUGAGAGAGCCAAACCUGUAGUGUUAAUGAGAUAUUCAACUUCACAAAAAGGUUACUUGUUGAUGAACUUGAAUACUGACAAGUUAUUUGUCACUAGAGAUGUUGUGUUUCAAGAGCAUGCGUUUCCAUUUGAAAAUAAGCAGGAGAAAAAUGAUCCAUCAAAUUUUCUACAACUAUAUGAAGAGCAGACUCAGACGUAGUUAAAGAUCAUACAUCUGCAGAUGAGCAAAUACAUGAUAGAGACUCCAGAACAGAAGUACCAUCUCAAGAUCAUUCAUAACUUGAUCAUAUUAUUGAAGCAGAACCAAUACAUGAAUCUAUCCACAUGCUAUUGAUGUUGAUGUUGAUGUUGGACAACACAUGCUAAGAAGAACUCUAAGAGUGACUAGAGAACCUAUCUGGUUGAAGAACUACACUACAAUGAAGAAGAAGAAGGGUACAAGGUAUCAUAUUGCCAACUACUUAUCUUAUGCCAACACUACAGCCAACUACCAAUGUUAUGUGGGUAAUUUCUCAGAUCUAGUAGAGCCACAGUAUUUCAGUCAAGCUGUUAUGAUGAAAUAUGGAUUCAAGCUAGAAAUUCAAGCUCUCGAGGACAAUAACACCUGGGAAAUAGUAGACUUGCUACCAGCUAAAAAUGUUAUUGAAUCAAAGUGGGUAUAUAAAAUCAAGUACCAGGCUAAUGAAGAUGUUGAGAGGUUCAAAACAAGGUUAGUAGCAAAAAGGUACAACCAAUAGGAGGGGUUAGACUAUCAUGAUACCUUUUCACCUAUUGCAAAAAUGGUAACUGUCAGGUGUAUUAUUGUAACACCCCGUAAAAAGUCGUGCAUGGAUUAGCCUUUAAUAGAGUGCCCUUAGACUUAAAAACUUGAAAAUUUUUCUAAGUGUAAUGAGGACUUAGAGUCAUUUUAGCUGGCAAUCUUUGGGAUACAACUUUUCAACCAUCCCGACAUCCGGCUUUAGAUUUUCAAGUUGCGUUAUGAUCAGGUAAGCUCAUAGUACAUCUCGGAUAAGUUUCGGAAUUUUUCAGAACGCAUAAGGCUGCGUUUCGAUUUCAAAACAGUAGCAAAACGCAUAGCCUAUUGCCCAGUUUUCAGUAUUUCAGGGUCAACUUCAAACGAUCAUAACUCCCUGUAUAUAAUGAACUGUGUGAGAUAUAAUAUAUCAAACGAAAUAUCUUUGAGUCCUCUUUCAAAUGCAGUUGGUUUCAUCCAAUUUGAGUNNNNNNNNNNNNNNNNNNNNNNNNNNNNNNNNNNNNNNNNNNNNNNNNNNNNNNNNNNNNNNNNNNNNNNNNNNNNNNNNNNNNNNNNNNNNNNNNNNNNNNNNNNNNNNNNNNNNNNNNNNNNNNNNNNNNNNNNNNNNNNNNNNNNNNNNNNNNNNNNNNNNNNNNNNNNNNNNNNNNNNNNNNNNNNNNNNNNNNNNNNNNNNNNNNNNNNNNNNNNNNNNNNNNNNNNNNNNNNNNNNNNNNNNNNNNNNNNNNNNNNNNNNNNNNNNNNNNNNNNNNNNNNNNNNNNNNNNNNNNNNNNNNNNNNNNNNNNNNNNNNNNNNNNNNNNNNNNNNNNNNNNNNNNNNNNNNNNNNNNNNNNNNNNNNNNNNNNNNNNNNNNNNNNNNNNNNNNNNNNNNNNNNNNNNNNNNNNNNNNNNNNNNNNNNNNNNNNNNNNNNNNNNNNNNNNAUCAACAAAAGAGAGCAUGAAUUUGAAAUAAAUAUUGUUCACCACUUGUAAAUGAUGAAGCACCUUGGUUUUUACAUGAUUAUGAAUAUGUGGAUGUGAUACUGAUGACUUGCAAGUCGGGUGUGACGAUAACCUACCAAAUAUGAUAUGCGAUUGAAUAAGGUGAAAUUUGAAUGCAUUGAUUUUACAUGAGAAAGAUGGAUGCCCGAAGAAGGCGUUUGAGAAAAAAAUGGCUCAUUACUGGAAGAACGUGUUUGCCGACAUGGAAUAUCGGUACCAUGCUUUGUGGUCUUGCGUACCUAAUAUUAUACUAUCCCAAAUUGGAAUUAUUGUUAGGAGGCAUGCUUUGUGGUCUUUUGCACUACCAUAUUUGAUUUGGGUCGAGACACCAUGCUUUGUGGUCUUGUGUGUCUCUCCCUCACUUAUACUCUAAUCUCGGUGGCAACCGAGGUUUGACAGUUGGUGUAAAUUAUGUAGGGUAUUCCACCUAGCUCAGUUGCAUUUCAUUAUUGUUGAGAAAAACUAUUGCAUUACACCCAUGUGUUUUCAAAUGAUUUGAUACGAAAUUGCUUUAUAAUGGCUCUCAACUAUAUAUUGUAAAAAUAUUAUGUUUUGUUUUUAUAUCUCUACGUGCCAGUACUUUUGUGCUGACCCCCUCCCCUCUCCAACCUCUCAGGUUCAGAGGCCCAGUCUAGGGGUCAAGAGAAUCAGUAGAUCAUUCAGACAGAGUUGCAGAGACAAGUGGUGAGCCUUCUAUGUUUCGGAAGGUCUUAUGUCCUGCAGUCCUUUUAUCUUAUAUUAGUUUUGGGUCUGCUGGGGGCCUUGUCCCAGUUUUCAGAUAGACAUUGUUUCAGUCAUGUAGUAGAGAUUUCGCAGACGGUUUUAAAGAUGUUGAUUUAGAUUGUGGGACACUAUUCCCCAUUUUCAUUUUCAUAUGAUUCCUGGCCAUGUUUCCGUUAUAUUGUGUUUUUCCACAUUUCUUUGAUCAUAUGAAUUAGGUGCAUGAUUACUAGACAGAUAGGGGUGUUUCGGGCCUCAAUGGUUCGAAAUGCUCGUCACGGCCAGGCCCUGGUUUGGGUCAUGACAAUUAUUGCUCUAGCAGUAUCAAAAGGAUGGUAUUUGCAUUACAUGGAUGUGUAUAAUGCAUUCUUACAGAAUAUGAGGAGGUAUACAUGAAGUUACCUAAAGGUUUUCAACAGAAAGGAAAACAUAAAGUGUACAGGUUAUUAAGUCUUUAUAUGGGCUUAAACAAACAUCGAGACAAUGGAAUAUCAAGCAUACUUCAUCCUUAUUACAAGUUGGAUUUACUUAGAGUGCAUAUGAUUAUUCAUUUUUCACUUUAAGGAAGACAACGGGAAUGGUCAUAAUCUUAGUCUAUGUUUAUGACUUGCUCAUCACUGGAGAAGCUAAGGAGGCAUUACACCAAUAGUUUAAGCUCAAAGACUUGGGAAAGCUUAAGUACUUUCUUAGUAUUGAGAUUCUAAGGUCUAGAUAAGGAAACAUUUUAAAUCAAUGAAAGUACAUUCUUGAGUUGAUUUUAAAAACUGGUCUUGUUGGUGCCAAACCAGCAAAUACACCAUUUGUAUCUGAUGUAGACACGUAAUUUUGUCCCUUCCUGAAAUUAUUUUUUAUUACUUUUACCCCCGUCUUACCACGCACCUUCACCCCAUUCCAUAAUUCUUCCAAAAAAAAUCAAAAACAACCAAAUUAAUAACUACUUUUAACACCUCACCCUAACAAAUUUAAUCUCAUCCUAACAACUUUCUACCCCAACCUCUACCCCUAUACCCCUAGACCCCUUACCCCACCCAAAGACAUUUGUAUUCCUUUUUCUUAACCCAAUACGGGGAGAGAGAAGACACUAGGAAGGGAUUCCAUUUUUCAAUCUUCCACAACAGAAUACAUAUGCACAUUCCCUCCAUUUCAUAAUAAAUGAAUUGUUAGAUUUUGACAUACGGAUUAAGAAAAAAGCAUUAAAGACAUAAAUUUAACACAAUUUUUUAUUUUUAUCCCAAAAAAAAAAGUUGAUUUUAUAAUACUUUUUAAAAGUUAAUUGAUUGUCAAAUCAUAAUGGAUAAAUUUAGAAAAAAAACUCAAUGAUUCACUUAUUUUGAAACAUCAAUAAAUACCCUAACAAUUCACUUAUUCCGAAACAGAGGAAGUACUCCGCAACACAACUCCAUAGGCAGCACACAUAUACACAUAUACGGGCACACUACACAUGAAAAAAGGGGGGAAUUUCUAUUGAAUACAGGGAGCUCGCCAUUAACACCCACAGAGAAACCUCCCUUCACCAUCAAUAUACAGACCCACUUCACCAUUUGCACAGACUCUCAAUUCUCACACAAACAAGCACACACAACUGCAAUAGACACACACCCAUCACAUACACACACACUCUCAGACUCCAUCGAACACACCCAUACCUCAUUGAAAAAGUCACGCACUCACAGAAAGCAAAACAGACCAUAGAGAGAUGGAGAGAGAAUUGAGAGAGUAGUAAGAAAAGAGCGGACAUAGAGGGAGAAAUAGAGGCUCGCCGUCUUUCACUGUCGUUAUUCUGUCACUGUCGGAGCUCCGGCAGAGCCUCCACGGGUUCAAUUGAAAAAUCCAUCGUCUUAAUCUGCCGGCAAAACCCGUAACCCCGUUGACGUAAAUAGUAUUAUGAUCAAAGUCGCGAACAUUAUUUUUUGGUCCCAGAUUCGAUUCAGAUUUUCGGGGAUUUUGAUUUGAGAUUGCUAUUUUUGAUUGUUCAGUUUUGGGUACAAUCGAGUUGGCGGGUUCGCGUUGAAUUUGUUGAUUGAGGUUUGGUUGUGGUUUCUGGCGGGAGCUCCAUCUUAUUUAAUUGAAUAAUACUUGAUUGAAAAGCCUCAUGUCUAAUCUUUUCUCAAUUAAUUUUCAUUUUUAAUACUUUGU
rnacentral:lncRNA from 1 species